ACUGCCAAUAUAGGCAGACCACGCAGCUGCUAUGGGGCCCGUGGGAGGGGGGGGCCCGGAGUGCAUGGAAGCAAGGGCCGGCUCCCAGCUACCACCAUUCUUCCUUCUCUGCUGCUGGACUGCAUUUAGUUUUACUUUGGAGAAAGGGACAGCACAGUACCGUGCAGGGAUUGUUCCUUUCUCCAAAGUAAACUUUACCGAUCUGACAUGAGCAGACAGCUCCCCCCCCCUCCUCCUCUCUGCAGUGUGAUAUUCCUUCAUGUGUGAGGAGGGGGCGGAGCCAGAGGAGCCGAGGCAGCAGCAGGAGAUAAUGGAGACCCUGCACCUUCUGACCUCCGGUGUCACUGUGCCUCCAGUAUAAAGUUCAGUCCCUCACCGGUCCUCCUACACAGCAACAAUGGGGUGCCCAUGGCUGACUGCAACUUACCCCCAAAUCUCUGAUUGGAUCAUUAGGAAUCCUGGUAAGGACCCUGCCUUAGGACCCUUGCUGCCAUAGCAUCCCAGCUGAACCCAUGAACAUGUUGUGGAGCCAACAUCUUCAGUCAGUCUACUCAGGUGUUGCAGUCACUCAGAAGUUGGAAAGAGAAUGUCUUGGAGAAGAAAUCAC